ensembl:lncRNA
UACCUUCUAAAGCUAUAGGCAGAUCUGAGGGGAUUUGUGAAGUGGUGUUAUUUACGACACAUACCUCCCACUACCCACUUUUUGGCGGGGAGUGGAAUGGAAAUAUUUAAUGCCUCUCUUUCUUAACAGGAGAGGUAACAACAGGUAAUGCUUUACUAACAUACCGCCGCUACAGCUACAGCCUCCUAGAACUUAAGGUGAAUUUCUCCCCUCCCCGCCUUCGCUCAAGACUUACUGUGGGUUCUAGAAAGUCAGGGAAGAGUGCCAUUGCUGCUGCAGCCUGCAGUGCUCCUGACAUGUUUUAAAACGUGUGACGCUAGGACCUAGCGCUGUUAUUGCUGCCGUAAUGAUCUGGGGUGCCAACGGUUUCCCUUUUUCUAGGACAGAAUGAUCUGAUGCCAGGAAAUACUAGAUUUUAAAAGGACCUUUUCCCUUAGGUAAUUUUCUAGCUGCAGAUGCAGAAUGAUUUUCAGUGGCAAAUUUCCCCCCAGAAGUCCCUGAAAUGGAGUUAUUACGGCUUGGAGGGGAAACAAUUGUUUCCAUUCCCACCGACUCCCUCCGCAAUGUUCCCUUCCCAGGUAAGGGAGUUUAUUACUGGCCAGCAGUGGGCAGAUGGACUUGAGAUCAAGCAAGAAAAAUGCAAACUAAAAAUAAAUUUAGUAUAGAAGGAAAACACGGAAGCGUUCCUGGGAAGGAACUGAAGAAGACCAGAAUGACUGAAGGAAACAUGGGGGCGGCCUGCAUCUCCGGCUAGCUGAGUAGCUGCUAGGAGUUACUACAGCUUUCCCAUCCUCAGUUUCUUCAUCAAUAAAAAAGAAUUAAAAUGAGAAAAUCUUUUCAUGAAUCUUAGGCACAGUGAGCAUCCCACAAAAGAGGUUGAAAAUGAAUUUAUAAAUGGGAGAAAUUUCGAUUGCAGAAUUUCUGGCAUCAGAGACUCAGAGUGCAUUUGAACCAGCCUUAGCUGCUUCGGCUGUCCCACUGGAGGCACAACUUCCAAGUGGAAAUCAAUGCAGGGUGGAGGAGGAGCAAAUGCACAGCCUCCUACAGGCUUGAAGCAUCAUGCAUUUAUUAGAUCUCGCAGUUUAACAAACUCCUGUAAAAGGCAACACUGUGAGGACUCAGGGCACUCUUCAUACCCUUACAGGCUCCAGCUGUGUCCCUCAUCUCCAAUGCCUGUCACCUGUUCUUCCACUUCUUCCCACCUGUGCUCGCAGGGAGGCUCCAGCCCUGGCUCCCGGUCUAUGUUUGGCUUCUGAGAGGCCACAGGAGGCCACCCCCCAGCCUUUUUGACUCAUUCCUAAAUGUUUCCAUGAUUAUCAUAGUCUUGAGUCUUGGAUUGUGAAUCCUCGUAACCGACACAGAGUGGCAGGAUCCCAUGUGGAAUAUCCUAUGGCCAGUCAAACAUCCGGAUACCUCAGCUGGAGAUUGCUGAGAGCUGAUCCUGAAAAAGUGAACUAUUGAUGGAACUGAGGAGGGAAAGGAGAAAUAACUUUGGAGCCAGAGCUCUGAAUGCUUCCUCAAAUUCAAAACUCAGCCUCCCCACUUACUGGUUUUGUGGCUUCAGCUGUCAAGUGAAAUGGGAGCAGGCCUGCCCAAAUCAGGGAGCCGAGGUCUGCAGCGGCUCUUCACGUUCCACGUGGUAAUAGCCAGUGACAGCUUCUACUCUGAACAAAUUGUUUUCCGUUGGUUGAUGGGUCUCAGCUGUUCUAACCUGGGAAGUGAUGGGAAAAAAUGAAGCUGAGAGUGUUGCAAUGAACUUCCCAAGGUCAUUCAUCUGGGUCACUUGUCCAACAGCCUCACCUCCUAGACCAUGGCUGAGAGUCAGAGAAGAAAUAUGGAUCUUUUAUGAACAGUCAGAAUGGACGUAAU